GGGAGGAAUAUCAAUCUAAGCCCAUAAUUUUCUCCGACUUUUCCCACAUUAAUCUCCUUCCAUAAUCAUGCAUUAAAUUAAAGCUCACUGAAGCUCAUUAAAGUGUAUAUGAAAAUAAAUUCGCUGAACAGUACAGAAAAAAAAAAGAAAAAAUAUUCAUUCAACCUCUGAUAGCAGACCUGUUGGACUAUCAAGGGCCAGAAUUCCUAGAAAUUUACAGGUUAAUCCAUCGUUGUUAUUAAGAAAUUAAGAGGCUAACCAUAUACUAAGGAGACUCUGGAGUAUUCAUUACACUGAAUAUCUUAGCACUGAAAAUGAUAUCCCAUCAGCAGAGUUGGAUGUGGACCAGUUUUGUACCCGAUAUGAUGCGCUUUUGUAGGACCAUAAAACUAGGUUUAUCAGGCCACUUUUUGAGCGUGAUGGUAGUGCGAUGAUUAUAAUUUAGUAGACGGUAGAAGUGAUUCUAGUUUUAUUAUUUCAUCCUAAUUAGCUUCAGUUUCAAUGUCUGUUAAGACGUUUUAGUUGUUUUUAUUUAUAUGGCAAUGAAUCACUACUCAUUUAACUUUAUCCA